CCUACGGGGGGCAGCAGUGAGGAAUAUUGGUCAAUGGUCGGGAGACUGAACCAGCCAAGCCGCGUGAGGGAGGAAGGCACAGAGUAUCGUAAACCUCUUUUGUCAGGGAACAAACACUGGUACGCGUCCCCGGAUGAGUGUAUCUGAAGAAAAAGCAUCGGCUAACUCCGUGCCAGCAGCCGCGGUAAUACGGAGGAUUCGAGCGUUAUCCGGAUUUAUUGGGUUUAAAGGGUGCGUAGGCGGGAUUGCAAGUCAGAUGUGAAAGCCCAGGGCUUAACCACGGGACCGCCUUUGAACCUGGCAGUCUAGAGUUUGGGAGAGGUAUGUGGAAUGCGCGGUGUAGCGGUGAAAUGCGUAGAUA
rnacentral:rRNA from 1 species